rnacentral:rRNA from 1 species
GAUGAACGCUGGCGGCGUGCCUAAUACAUGCAAGUCGAGCGAAUGGAUUAAGAGCUUGCUCUUAUGAAGUUAGCGGCGGACGGGUGAGUAACACGUGGGUAACCUGCCCAUAAGACUGGGAUAACUCCGGGAAACCGGGGCUAAUACCGGAUAACAUUUUGAACCGCAUGGUUCGAAAUUGAAAGGCGGCUUCGGCUGUCACUUAUGGAUGGACCCGCGUCGCAUUAGCUAGUUGGUGAGGUAACGGCUCACCAAGGCAACGAUGCGUAGCCGACCUGAGAGGGUGAUCGGCCACACUGGGACUUAGAAACGGCCCAGACUCCUACGGGAGGCAGCAGUAGGGAAUCUUCCGCAAUUGACGAAAGUCUGACGGAGCAACGCCGCGUGAGUGAUGAAGGCUUUCGGGUCGUAAAACUCUGUUGUUAGGGAAGAACAAGUGCUAGUUGAAUAAGCUGGCACCUUGACGGUACCGUAAGAAUAAGGAUCGGCUAACUCCGUGCCAGCAGCCGCAGUAA